GACGAACGCUGGCGGCGUGCCUAAUACAUGCAAGUAGAACGCUGAAGGAGGAGCUUGCUCUUCUGGAUGAGUUGCGAACGGGUGAGUAACGCGUAGGUAACCUGCCUGGUAGCGGGGGAUAACUAUUGGAAACGAUAGCUAAUACCGCAUAAGAGUAGAUGUUGCAUGACAUUUGCUUAAAAGGUGCAAUUGCAUCACUACCAGAUGGCCCUGCGUUGUAUUAGCUAGUUGUUGGGGUAACGGCUCACCAAGGCGACGAUACAUAGCCGACCUGAGAGGGUGAUCGGCCACACUGGGACUGAGACACGGCCCAGACUCCUACGGGAGGCAGCAGUAGGGGAUCUUCGGCAAUGGACGGAAGUCUGACCGAGCAACGCCGCGUGAGUGAAGAAGGUUUUCGGAUCGUAAAGCUCUGUUGUAAGAGAAGAACGAGUGUGAGAGUGGAAAGUUCACACUGUGACGGUAUCUUACCAGAAAGGGACGGCUAACUACGUG
rnacentral:rRNA from 1 species